rnacentral:rRNA from 1 species
UGGGGAAUAUUGCACAAUGGGCGCAAGCCUGAUGCAGCCAUGCCGCGUGUAUGAAGAAGGCCUUCGGGUUGUAAAGCACUUUCAGCGGGGAGGAAGGCGUUAAGGUUAAUAACCUUGGCGAUUGACGUUACCCGCAGAAGAAGCACCGGCUAACUCCGUGCCAGCAGCCGCGGUAAUACGGAGGGUGCAAGCGUUAAUCGGAAUUACUGGGCGUAAAGCGCACGCAGGCGGUUUGUUAAGUCAGAUGUGAAAUCCCCGGGCUCAACCCGGGAACUGCAUCUGAUACUGGCAAGCUUGAGUCUCGUAGAGGGGGGUAGAAUUCCAGGUGUAGCGGUGAAAUGCGUAGAGAUCUGGAGGAAUACCGGUGGCGAAGGCGGCCCCCUGGACGAAGACUGACGCUCAGGUGCGAAAGCGUGGGGAGCAAACAGG